AACGAACGCUGGCGGCAGGCCUAACACAUGCAAGUCGAACGCCCCGCAAGGGGGAGUGGCAGACGGGUGAGUAACGCGUGGGAACGUACCCUUCGGUUCGGAAUAAACCCGGGGGAAACUCGGGCUAAUACCGGAUACGUCCGCAAAGAAGAAAAGAUUUACCGCCGAAGGAUCGGCCCGCGUCGGAUUAGCUAGUUGGUGGGGUAAUGGCCCACCAAGGCGACGAUCCGUAGCUGGUCUGAGAGGAUGAUCAGCCACACUGGGACUGAGACACGGCCCAGACUCCUACGGGAGGCAGCAGUGGGGAAUAUUGGACAAUGGGCGAAAGCCUGAUCCAACCAUGCCGCGUGAGUGAAGAAGGCCUUAGGGUUGUAAAG
rnacentral:rRNA from 1 species